CUAGAGGAUGAGACGAGAUGAGACAAGGGCUGGCUAUGGGAACGACACCCGGGGACAGGGGGCACACCACACGGGGUUAGGGCAGCAGCAUGUUCUGUAUCUUCACCAGGUGAGGCUCCGACCCCGGACAGCAAAUGCCCCAGACCAGGUGUGGCUCCAACCCUGGAAUCAAUCCCAGACAGUGAAUGUCCCAGGCUCCACGACAGCACCGAGCACCCUGGGACUCCGGCAAUCAGGCGGCUGGGACACCUCACAGAAGGGGGACAGCCAUGACGGAAGGGGGAGGCGCCCACCUGCAGCUUCAGGUCAUGACACGGCACAGAGUGGCAAGGGCCAGGGAAGGCCCUGAGGAUGAGAAUGGGCCUGGACGCUCCCUGAACCAGGGUGGGGCAGGGUAGGG
rnacentral:lncRNA from 1 species